GAUGAAGAACGUAGCGAAAUGCGAUAAGUAGUGUGAAUUGCAGAAUUCCGUGAAUCAUCGAAUCUUUGAACGCACAUUGCGCCCGCCAGCAUUCUGGCGGGCAUGCCUGUUCGAGCGUCAUUUCAACCCUCAAGCUCUGCUUGGUGUUGGGGCCCUACGGUUGACGUAGGCCCUUAAAGGUAGUGGCGGACCCUCUCGGAGCCUCCUUUGCGUAGUAACUAACGUCUCGCAUUGGGAUUCGGAGGGACUCUUGCCGUAAAACCCCCAAAUUUUCUAAUGGUUGACCUCGGAUCAGGUAGGAAUACCCGCUGAACUUAAGCAUAUCAAUAAGCGGAGGA
rnacentral:misc_RNA from 1 species